rnacentral:lncRNA from 1 species
UAAACUAAAAAUAUAUUAUUGGAUACGGUUUGGCCAAACGGCCUACAUAUUAAAAAUAAAAUUAAAAAUCCUAAACUUAUUGAGAGAAUUCUCCCCCUAAACAAAGACUCUUUAAAGACUAUAUUGUGGAUGCUAUUGUGUUAUGGUAUGAGAAAGAGGUCUUCUAUUUAUAAAUGUCUAAAAUCUUUCCUCUAAGAAAGAGGUUAGCCAAAUAUAGAAAAGAAUUAUAUUUUUUUCUUUCAGGAAAAGUAAAAGUAAUUAUGGUAACUUUUAUUUUCUUUGUAAGAAGAUGUAAAACUUAAAUAUAGUAAGAAAAUCAGGGUAAAAACCAUAACAAAUCUCCUCUUUUUGGCUUGAUUUUCUUCAAAAUAUUCUUGAUCCUCCUUAUUCUUGUGCAUGAUCUUCGUUCUUCAUAUAUCACUGCUGUUUGACAUGUUUAAAAAUGAAGCUUUUGGGGUUAAAAAAUAUAUUAGCCCUUUUCGGGUUAAAAAUGUUGGAGCCCUUUUGCAGGGUUAAAAGUGAACUUUAUUUUCAAAUAUGUGACAGCAGGAUUGUUGAAAAUAUGAUUGACAAUUAUCUCCACAUGUAGCUUUUGGACAUAUAUCUUUAUUAUCAUCAAAUUGGUUGUAGCUUGAUUUUGAAACCGCUUUGAACCUGUUUAAUCUCGUCUUACCACACCAUUGGACCAUUGAACCGUAAGCCCUGAUACCACUUGUUGGGUUAGAAAUCGAGACGACGUCGUGCGGAAGCUUUUAGUUUGCAAACCAUAAGACGAUAAAUCAAACGACACAUGAAAAAUUAAACUAAAAAUAUAUUAUUGGAUAUGGUUUGGCCAAACGGCCUACAUAUUAAAAAUAAAAUUGAAAAUCCUAAAAUUUAUUGGGAGAAAUCUCCCCCUAAACAAAGACUCUUUAAA